AUAAGAAGCAAAAUUUGCAUUUAGUUUCGACCUAAAAAUCUGAUAUAAUUUAUAUCCUUAUUUU
rnacentral:tRNA from 1 species